rnacentral:lncRNA from 1 species
CCGGCAGUUGGCGAGGCGCGCGGACUCGGGGAGGCUCCGGCGCUGGGCUCCGGGUCGUGGUCCGCGUGGGCACCUGCUGUCCCUGGAAGGGGCUCCGGCCAGGUUACUCAGAAAGGGCUUUUAAAACUAAAUGAAAACAUGUCUGUGCUUCCAAAGAGAAGUAAGGGAAUACCUACUUCAAAGAAAAAGGAAGGAGCUGAGGGUGGAGCGAAUCCAUCAUGGCCCUGGCUUCAAUGCCCAAUACCAAAAAUAAACAGAACCAAGGAAAAGCAAAACCCCAUGGAAAGGAUGCUAAACCCUUGGCUGCAUCAGCAUUUUCAAACUCCAGUACAAAACUCUACACCUGGAGCACUCCUAGCAACCACCAGCUUCUACCUGAGGAGAGUAUUCUUUGAUCUGCAGUGCUGGCAUGUACUCUGGUUUGCUUAGUGAAUGUGUUUGGACACAUUCUUUUUUUUUUGCAAGACUCUUUAAAAUUGAGAAUCAGCCCAAAUUAAAGAGUUGCUACAUACUUAUUGACCUGUUCAUUUGUGUGGAGGCCCAUUUUUGAGGUUAAUUUUGGUCACAAAUGUGUUGAUACACAGCACAUUCAUAUUGACAUUUAUUACAUGUUAAUAUUGUGUUAAAUGUGUUUAGUGUAUUUAUU